rnacentral:rRNA from 1 species
UGCAAGUCGAGGGGUAACAGGGAAAAGCUUGCUUUUCCGCUGACGACCGGCGCACGGGUGCGAAACGCGUAUGCAACCUACCUCUUACUGGGGUAUAGCCCAGAGAAAUUUGGAUUAAUCCCCCAUAGUACCAUUUAAUCGCAUGGUUGAAUGGUUAAAGGUUACGGUAAGAGAUGGGCAUGCGUCCCAUUAGUUAGUUGGUGAGGUAAUGGCUCACCAAGACUCCGUUGGGUAGGGGUUCUGAGAGGAUGAUCCCCCACACUGGUACUGAGACACGGACCAGACUCCUACGGGAGGCAGCAGUGAGGAAUAUUGCGCAAUGGACGAAAGUCUGACGCAGCCAUGCCGCGUGCAGGAUGACGGCGCUACGCGUUGUAAACUGCUUUUAUUUACAAAGAAACCUCGGGACGUGUCCCGAGCUGACGGUAGUAUUUGAAUAAGCACCGGCUAACUCCGUGCCAGCAGCCGCGGUAAUACGGAGGGUGCAAGCGUUAUCCGG